UCAAGUGAUGAUUAUUGGAGGUAGAGCACUGUUUGGACGAGGGGCCCCUCUCGGGUUACCGAAUUCAGACAAACUCCGAAUGCCAAUUAAUUUAACUUGGGAGUCAGAACAUGGGUGAUAAGGUCCGUGUUCGAAAGGGAAACAGCCCAGACCACCAGCUAAGGUCCCAAAAUAUAUGUUAAGUGGAAAAGGAUGUGGCGUUGCCCAGACAACUAGGAUGUUGGCUUAGAAGCAGCCAUCAUUUAAAGAGUGCGUAAUAGCUCACUAGUCGAGUGACACUGCGCCGAAAAUGUACCGGGGCUAAACAUAUUACCGAAGCUGUGGAUUGUCCUUUGGACAAUGGUAGGAGAGCGUUCUAAGGGCGUUGAAGCAUGAUCGUAAGGACAUGUGGAGCGCUUAGAAGUGAGAAUGCCGGUGUGAGUAGCGAAAGACGGGUGAGAAUCCCGUCCACCGAUUGACUAAGGUUUCCAGAGGAAGGCUCGUCCGCUCUGGGUUAGUCGGGUCCUAAGCUGAGGCCGACAGGCGUAGGCGAUGGAUAACAGGUUGAUAUUCCUGUACCACCUAUAAUCGUUUUAAUCGAUGGGGGGACGCAGUAGGAUAGGCGAAGCGUGCGAUUGGAUUGCACGUCUAAGCAGUAAGGCUGAGUAUUAGGCAAAUCCGGUACUCGUUAAGGCUGAGCUGUGAUGGGGAGAAGACAUUGUGUCUUCGAGUCGUUGAUUUCACACUGCCGAGAAAAGCCUCUAGAUAGAAAAUAGGUGCCCGUACCGCAAACCGACACAGGUAGUCAAGAUGAGAAUUCUAAGGUGAGCGAGCGAACUCUCGUUAAGGAACUCGGCAAAAUGACCCCGUAACUUCGGGAGAAGG
rnacentral:rRNA from 1 species